rnacentral:ncRNA from 2 species
GGAAGCCGGUGCGAAUCCGGCGCGGUCCCGCCACUGUCACCGGGGAGCGCCCCCCUCCACACGCCACGGCCCGGCAACGGGCCGGAAGGCCGGGGAGGCGCCGAUCCGGGAGCCAGGAGAC